rnacentral:rRNA from 1 species
CAAAAGCGUGUAUUAAAGUUGUUGCAGUUAAAAAGCUCGUAGUUGAACCUUGGGCUUGGCUGGCCGGUCCAUCUUUUUUGAUGCGUACUGGACCCAGCCGAGCCUUUCCUUCUGGCUAGCCUUUUGGCGAACCAGGACUUUUACUUUGAAAAAAUUAGAGUGUUCAAAGCAGGCCUUUGCUCGAAUAUAUUAGCAUGGAAUAAUAGAAUAGGACGUUAUGGUUCUAUUUUGUUGGUUUCUAGGACCAUCGUAAUGAUUAAUAGGGACGGUCGGGGGUAUCAGUAUUCAGUUGUCAGAGGUGAAAUUCUUGGAUUUACUGAAGACUAACUACUGCGAAAGCAUUUACCAAGGACGUUUUCAUUAA